ensembl:antisense Gm43076 predicted gene 43076
ACAAAAGCCAAAGAGGGGAAGCAUCCAUUGUCUUUGUCUGCAGGUCUGUGCAAGUGUACUUGUGAUGGCUUGUUCAUUUUCAUCAACGGACUAAGAGGUAAGUGAUGAGUGCGCUGUUCUAAGAGCUUAAGGCCCCCAGCCUUCACUGUGAGUCCUGCUAUACUCUCACAGGAGAACAGGAUUCUAACCAGUAAAACCAGGAGGCAGCUAUAUCACUCAGCAUCUUUAGAGACCCACUGCAGCCAGCAUACAGAGAGAUUUUCCAACUACUCCCUUCAAUGGCAGAGUCAGCUUCCAGGGUCCUGGUAAGUAGAGGUGAAUGAGCAUCUUCCCUAAGCCUGAGCUGCUCUGAAAACCCACGACAACCCGAAUGCCAAGUCACCGAUGACUUCUGUAUCACACUUAUUUUAAGAAAAUGAGACCCUGUCCAACAGUAGACACGACACCUCUCCCCCUCCAAAGAAAAUGAUCUUCCCACUCAGUGACAGAUCAGGAAAGCAACUUUGCUCAUUGCUUCCCUUUUGAGCUAGAAAAUGACUCUGAGAGGCAAGACAGCCCUGUGAGGCCAGCACUCCCACGUCCCUCUUGCUGGCCUGUGCUGUCUCCUCUGAGCUGAGUCCGUAGCCCUUAGUCAUCCUGCACUAGAUCCCAGGAGCAAGGUGGGGGCACUUUUAGCUGCUAGAGCCACAUUUUGACACUCUUCUUAAACCAGUAGGAUGGGACAAGGUGCCUUGUUUCUGGCUUCUUCAGAAAUUAGAUUC